GUGUCAUCCCCAUCGCGGCCCGGGCUGCAGCCUCCGCUUGGCUUCUUUCACACGGGUUGCUUCGGAGGAAUCCGCCGUGCAAAUCUGUCCGCCCCCUUGGCCACUGAUCCCCCGAAGAGCUUCUGUCGCCGCUCUAGGAAUACAGACAUUGAAGUUUGGGACAAGAUAUUUAUCUAACUUCUGUGUCAAAAUUAACGACCUGCUAUGGCAAUGAAGAAAGAAACUGAAUUUGUCAUUUUCACCUGAAGAAAAAUGAUAGACAAAAAUCAAACCUGUGGUGUAGGACAGGAUUCUGUGCCCUAUAUGAUUUGUCUGAUUCACAUACUCGAAGAAUGGUUUGGUGUGGAGCAGUUGGAGGACUAUUUGAAUUUUGCAAACUAUCUCUUGUGGGUUUUCACACCACUAAUACUUUUAAUACUUCCUUACUUUACUAUCUUUCUUCUCUACCUUACUAUUAUUUUCUUACACAUUUAUAAGAGAAAGAAUGUAUUGAAAGAAGCCUACUCUCAUAAUUUAUGGGAUGGUGCAAGGAAAACAGUGGCAACUCUGUGGGAUGGACAUGCAGCCGUUUGGCAUGGUUAUGAAGUUCAUGGAAUGGAAAAAAUACCAGAAGAUGGACCAGCACUUAUAAUUUUUUAUCAUGGAGCUAUUCCUAUAGAUUUUUACUAUUUCAUGGCUAAAAUAUUUAUACACAAAGGCAGAACUUGCCGAGUAGUAGCUGAUCACUUUGUCUUUAAAAUUCCAGGGUUUAGUUUAUUACUGGAUGUGUUUUGUGCUCUACAUGGACCAAGAGAAAAAUGUGUUGAAAUUCUGAGGAGUGGCCACUUGUUAGCUAUCUCACCAGGUGGAGUUCGAGAAGCCCUAAUUAGUGAUGAAACUUAUAACAUCGUAUGGGGUCAUCGCAGAGGCUUCGCUCAGGUUGCAAUUGAUGCAAAAGUGCCCAUUAUUCCUAUGUUUACACAAAAUAUUCGAGAAGGAUUUAGAUCACUUGGAGGAACAAGGUUAUUUAGGUGGCUUUAUGAGAAAUUCCGCUAUCCAUUUGCUCCAAUGUAUGGAGGUUUUCCAGUGAAGUUACGGACCUAUUUAGGUGACCCCAUUCCGUAUGACCCACAGAUAACAGCGGAACAAUUAGCUGAAAAGGUUUUUGGAAAUAUUGGACUGGAGUUUGGGUGAAAGUCGGAAUUGAUGAUGGAGAUUUCAGUCAUUUGCACUGAGACAGUUACUUAAGCCAUGAGCUUUACAAGGCAGGUGAGAAAGAAAGAAAAGUGCUGAGAACAGACUUCAGGAGAUGUAGCACUGAAGGAGAAGGCCAAGGAAGAAGUGCCAGAGCUGACUGAAAGAGAACUGGCAGAGAGUCCCCUUUAGUGUUUAUCAUGUGCAAGGUGUUGCUGUGCUUAAUGCUGGAGAAAUUCUAAGAUGUAUCUUAAGGAGCUUACAGUCUGAUAUAGAAAAUAGACACGUGGACAACAACUAUAAUUGAAGGCUUAAUAAAAUAAGUAUAAGAAAUAUGCUGCAGCCAGGCACAGUGGCCCAUGCCUGUAAUCCCAGCACAUUGGAAGGCCAAGGUGGGAGAAUUGCUUGAGCCCCAGGAGUUCAAGAACAGCCUGGGAAACAUAGUGAAACCCCAUCUCUAUAAAAAAGAGAAAUAUAUAAGCUUCAGACAAAGAAUGCUGUUCAAGCUUUGAUUGAUAAGCACCAAAGAAUACCAGGAAACAUUAUGAGUGCUUUGUUAGAACGUUUUCAUUGAUAACAAAGGGUCAACUAGAAGAUGAUUUAGUACAUUUAUAUUAAAUGUUUGUAUCUAAGGUACUGUCUUCUGAAUUUUGUAGGUCCUAUAAUUAGUAUUUUUUUAAAAAAUCAUGUUAAUAAGCAUCUUUCACAGAAUUCAUUUCUUUAAAAUAGUCAAUUUUGUUUUUGCAAUUGUGUCAAAUACUAACAAAUUACACACCUAGUAAUUCAGAAAAAGAUAUCUUAUUUGUAAAUUCCUAACAAUGUAUGCUAAACAUAUAGAUUCUUAAGUUUAUUAAUAACAGCAGUAUAGGUUAAACAAACAUUCCUGGAUAAUGCGUUAAAUUUCUGUAUCUGUCGCCCUGAGCUGAUUUUGAAAGAUGGUAUAAGCUAGGGGUUAGUAUAGUUGUUUAAGUUAGAAAAAACAUGCUAUUGUCUGCCCCUCAUUCCCUUCAUGACCUUGGGCAAGUCACGUAAUGUUUUUGUGCCUCAACAAUUCACUUUUUAAAAACAUGAUCGUAUGGUGAAUGAUAUUAUUUUGUUAUUUAUAUUUGCUGUGAUUGAUAACUGUUGAACCAAAAUAAUAAAAUAAUUAAUUUAAACAAUGUCAAAAUCCUUUAGCAGUUAUGUAUAUAUUUUCUCCAUUGUGUGUUUAAAUUAUGUCAUGUCCAGUUGCCAAGCACAAUGAAAAAGAUGUAUUAUUUUUUAAAUUGAAUAAAAAAUUAGGAAAAAUAAAAUUUCUAAUUAUUAUUUUUAGUAUGAUAUUUUUAACAAGAGUCUAUAGGCAAACAAUAUAGGGUGUGCUGUGCAUUGUCAGCCCUAUACUAUGGUCUUAAUAAUGCCAGCUUAAAAAUCACUGUUGUGCUCUGCAUUUCGUGUGUUAGAAGCUGAUUCUAGGCUGAGGAAAGCAAGAGUUCUCUACUUUUGCUCAAUAUUGAGGCUUACCCAGUUUGACUGUACAGCCAGUGAAGUGGUUUAUUGCUUCAAUAAAAAUAUACUUGAAUGAUGAAUUUAUUUAUGUUUUGUUUUGUUUUUAUUUAGAGAUGGGGUUUUGCCAUGUUGGCCAGGCUGGUCUCGAACUCCUGACCUCAGGUGAUCCACCUGCCUCAGCCUCCCAACUUGCUGGGAUUACAGGUGUGAGCCACCAUGCCCAGCCUGAAUGAUGAAUUUAUGUGAACGCAAAGCCCUCUGAAAAAUUAAUGAUUUUCAAUUUGUUGUCUUCUUGAAAACUGAAUUUAAGUAUUAUUUAAACAGAAAAGUGUCAGAAAUCAAAUGCAGUAUCUCCCUCUCCCUUUUUUAAAUGUUGAAUUAGUAGGGUUUUUGUAUAGCUUUUUGUAUUAUGUGUAUUUAUGAUAUGUGAAAUGUACAUAAAAUUAAACAAUGUGAAAAUAAA